AGAACGAACGCUGGCGGCAGGCCUAAAACAUGCAAGUCGAACGCUCUAGCAAUAGAGAGUGGCGCACGGGUGAGUAACAUGUGGGAAUAUGCCUUUUGGUACGGAACAACUUUUGGAAACGAAAGCUAAUACCGUAUGGUCCCUUCGGGGUAAAGAUUUAUCGCCAAAAGAGUAGCCCGCAUUGGAUUAGCUAGUUGGUAAGGUAAUGGCUUACCAAGGCGACGAUCCAUAGCUGGUCUGAGAGGACGAUCAGCCACACUGGGACUGAGACACGGCCCAGACUCCUACGGGAGGCAGCAGUGGGGAAUCUUGCGCAAUGGGCGAAAGCCUGACGCAGCAACGCCGCGUGGAGGACGAAUGCUUUCUGAGUUGUAAACUCCUUUCAGCAGGGACGAUUGUGACGGUACCUGCAGAAGAAGCACCGGCCAACUACGUGCCAGCAGCCGC
rnacentral:rRNA from 1 species